rnacentral:lncRNA from 1 species
CAUCACCAGGGGACUUGUUUCCUCCAGCCAAGGUCGACAUUGCAGGCGAAGAAAGGAUAGCUGGCACCUCAGGCUGAAUCCGACCCCCUUCCUUCUCGGCACUGCGUCUGGACAGUCUCUCUUUGAAAGAAAGAAACCCGGCGACGAAGGUUGGAGUAGCACAGAGUCGGAAGUGCCGAGUUGGCCUCACCCAUCUCGACGUUGGAGCUUUUCUUUUCACUUGGGGAGGAAGACAUUCCUGAUAGGUAGUUUGGAGAAAAGAGAAUGUGAGAGAAAGAGAUGUUUGAAGAAUGAGGAGUGGUGAGUUGCUACUUAUAAGGAUAUGAGGGUGACGUGGAUUUCCGUAAUAAAUAUUCUUAGCCAAAGAUUUUGAUUUCUCGACCCCAACAUAAACCUAGGUCUUGCCCUAAACCCAGCCUUGCUGGAUCCUGACAUCUCAAUGGCAUAAUAUCGACAUCCCGAUAUGAGAUCCCAAAACUUCUCUCUUCACUUAAGUCUAUACGUUUUCAAGAGUCCUCGCACAAAGAAAAAGCUGCGCGCUCAACAGACUAUGGAUACGGUGAUCGUCUGGGGGCAAGGAACGAAAUGACAACUCACUCCUUCGCCCUCUAACUUCGAAAAACCCGGAGUUCUCUCGAUUUAUAAUAAGCCAAAAAGGUUUUAUAGAUUGAGCCAAACAUUAUACAAAAAGCCCUAACAAGGGCAGGGAUUCAAAGCCACCAACGGCCAGUCCCGAAACAUGCAAACUGUGGUCUCACAAACAGGCCAAAACAAAAAAAAUAAAAAAAAUAUCCCCAAAAGGAUCGUUACCCUAAGCACUCCUCGGAGCACCACCUUCAUCCUCAACCUCACAGCCAUCGCCUCCCUCGGCCGCUUCGUCGUUUCCUCUCCCGCUCGCAACAUCUCCACCUUCAUCAGCCACGCGGCCUUCCCCUCGGUCUCUCCCGAACACGGCAUGAGAGUGCACUCGAACUGCAGCUGAGAGAGGAUCGAGUCGAAGUCCCCGUCAGAAGCCUUCAACUCCUCCUUGCGAGACAACAGCCUGGCUUCUUCGGAGUCCAGAGUCGGAGCCAUGUCGCCUUCGAGCAGGUGGAUCUCGUUUAGGCUUCCCUCGACGCUCGCCAGAGCCAGGUCCUUCUCACGGACUGCCAUGAGGGAAUCAAACAGAACAGCCAUCCUCAUCAGGCGAGCGUGAAAAUCAUCCCUCGAAACAACAGUCCUCGACUUUUCGACGGACUUCGGAAGCCUUGCUCUUCUUCUCUUUCUUCAGCUUGAACAAUGCGCUCGCCGACUUUCCGAGGUCCCGCUCGAGAUCGCUGACCCGAACCUCCAGCCGAGAGAGCUCAGCAGCACGAGCAGCUUCAGUAGAUUUCAACGCGGCCUCGGCUUGUUUCAAUGCCUCUCACGAUUCAGCCAGGCCCCUUGUCAAACGCUCUAUCUCUGAUCCGCAGUCGCUGAGCAUCCCGUCAAUCAGGGAUACAAACUAUACAUGAAAUAAGGGUCAGGAUAAUCAUAGAACAAGGUGGCUUAUGCUGAAAAUAGUCAAAACAAACCUUGGCACGAUGUUGCGACAAAGGUCCCGAGGGCUCCCCUUCUGCGCCAGCGGUACAUCUCCUCUUCUUGAUGGUCUCGGUCGCAGCGCCAGUCCUCUUGCGAAUUUUUGUCAAAGGAGCAGCACUGGACGCGGGACGCCCUAGGACGAUCUCCUUCCUAUCCAAAGGCGGAGGUAUCAACUCCGUCGCCUUCUCCUCCUUAGGAGCUGGGACUGGUGUGGUCGAAGAGUCCGAGGGUUGAGCCGAGACCUCUGGAACUUGAACAGGAACCGUGGCCGAUUCUGCGAGGGGCGUGGCAUCACCAGGGGACUUGUUUCCUCCAGCCAAGGUCGACAUUGCAGGCGAAGAAAGGAUAGCUGGCACCUCAGGCUGAAUCCGACCCCCUUCCUUCUCGGCACUGCGUCUGGACAGUCUCUCUUUGAAAGAAAGAAACCCGGCGACGAAGGUUGGAGUAGCACAGAGUCGGAAGUGCCGAGUUGGCCUCACCCAUCUCGACGUUGGAGCUUUUCUUUUCACUUGGGGAGGAAGAC